rnacentral:SRP_RNA from 14 species
GGAAGGAAGCAGCAAUACUGGUGUGGGGCGGAUUGCGUGGAG